UGAUCUUGGUCCUUUUAGAACUUUUGUUUUUGUGAAUUAAAUUGUUAAACUGCAGAGGAACCCAACCUUCAGCAAUAGAGAGAGAAUAUUACAUGCUUACUCAGAAGUUAAAUUAUGCUAAAAAUACCAAGGAGGAAAAAUUAUCCUUUUGAGAAUCAAGCAUAAUAUGCUGAGAGUUUGAUGUAUGCUAGGCAGUGUGUUAACCAUGCUAUUAUUUUUUUUUUCAACAGUUCCAUGCAAUGUGUCCUUCUGCCUUCAUUUUAUGGUGUUCAAAGAAGGCAAACAACCUACCCAAGGCUUCAGUGAUAUAAAUCUAAAACAGAAUGUAUGUGUGAAGUUAUACUGUCACUCUUGGAAUGGAGGCUUUAAAUGGGACCUACUAGCCUGCGGUAAUUCUAUAUGAGGCAGUACUAUCAGUAAAUAGAUGGCAUGUCUGCAGAAUUAGAAGAGGCAUCUACCUUUACUGACAGUGUUUUGUGAAUCUGUGCUGUGUGGUGGUGGCUUGUGAGUGACAAUAGAUAAAGGUGGAACAGCCUGUGGCUAGCUGGUCUCAGAUGUUUAUCUGCUUGUAACUCACCUGUCUAUUUGGUAAGCUUCCUCGUUUAACUGUUACUCUGCUUGUAACUCACCCGUCUUUUCACUCAGUGAGUACUUCCAAGGGGCUUCCCUUUCCAUGCCCAGGAAACCUGCAGACUCAUCACACACCUAUCAAUAUCCCAGAUCACAAGCAGUCCAAUUCUGGAUAGGAGCCAGGGUCAUGCCUGUCAUGAAGAAUAGACAAGGAGGUUAUCUGUCUUCCUCACACAGUACUAUCUGAAGCAGACAACCAACUGAGAAGAAAAGUAAAAGCCAAUUGAUUGAUUUAUCAGACCAAAGAAAUCAUUCUUGUUAUUUUUCUAAUGAUCUUUGUUGUAUAUUUGGUCUGUCUCUGAAAAAAUAUAGCACUGCCUAAUACUACUGUUAAGCCUACCAGAUAAUUUUUGAAAAGUAGAUAAUAAGAGUUAGCAUUUAGAUUGGAAAUAUGUUCUAUACAUUCCACAUUUCAAGUAGAGAUGCAUGUCUCAAAAGAACACAAGGGAUGUUCCAAUCAAAUGUGUUUACUUCAUUAGAUAUUGAGACAAAGACGCUAAACUAUAAACACUGAAUUCUUGGUUCUGUGCUCUUGAUGUAUUUCCUUAAGGGUUGAUUUCUUCUUGGAUAAUAGUGGUAGCUUUGGGAUCCGCAAGGAGGGAAGGCCUAUACUUCCCGGAAUGGAGAGUCCCUACCUGUACUUCCAGAGAAGAAAAGUCCUUGUCAAGGUCCCUGCGGCUGCCUAAAGGUCAACAAAUGAGGAUCAGACCUGCCUCAACCUUUAACCCCCAUGCCCUAUAUCUAUAAAAGGAGCCCUCCAGCCUCUGACGCGUGACUUCCCCGGCCCCUGCUCUGUUGGGACCGGGGAACCUCGCCCUGGAGUGGAAUCCCUCUGCCUGGGAAGAUUUGCUAUACGCUGGACACCUUGCAAAUAGAUCAGAGUUUACUGCUGUUCUUAUGAGUUGUUGCAUUCUUUGAUAAUAAAACAGGGCUUAAAAUGUAGAAAUAUUUGGUAUAUUAUUUUAAACUGAAUCUUUAAUAGUUCAAUAAAAAUGUGAUGCAUUCAGUGGGCUCUCUCCCAUAGGAAGUCACUGACUUAAAAUUUUAGAAAAGGCUUUUUUUUUGUUUAAAAAAGAUUUAUUUAUUUGACAGUCAGAAUUACAGUGAGAGAGGGAGCUUGUCCAUCCACUGGCUUGCUCCCCAACUGGCCACAAUGGCUAAGGCUGGGCCUGGUCAGGAGCCUGAAACUCCAUCUGGGUUUCCCAUGUGGGUAGCAGGGUCCCAAGUACUUAGGCCAUCUUUCACUGCCUUCUCAGCAGCAUCAGCAGGGAGAUGGAUUGGAAGUGGAGCAGCUGGGACUUCAAGUGGCUAAACCUGGUGCUCCACAAUGCUGGCCCUGCACAGGGCUUCAUAAGCAUCAAACUAUUAGCAUUUCAAUAUUCAUCACCUUUAUUAGGUAACAAGUAAAUUUACAGUAAAACAGAUUCAAAUGAUGCUUUUACAUUCUGAGAGCACUUUAGAUGAACCAGUUUACCUGGUCACUCAACAGAUACGAAGCAUGUGCUAUUUACACACAAUGGUAGUUUUGAUAAUCACUGACGGGCGAAGGAAGGUGUUACACUGGAAACCUUUCUUGGUUUCUCUCUCACAGGCUGACAAUUUAGAGAUCUGAGUAACUGUGACAACACAGGCAAUGCCAAAAAGCUCUGAGAAGGAUUCUCAUCAAAUAGGCCAACUACAGAACAGUUCUAAGGUGCCGCCAAACUUGAGAACAGAUACUGAGGUCAGGUGAGAAGUGGAUACACUUUCACAUACCUGUGUCACCAGAACAUCUCAUCAUCAUUCAGGUGUUUGAAUGGGCUUGUCUGGGGUACAGCCUGAGACCCUUACUUUCUAACAAGUUCUACAAUGGUGUUGGUUCAUGGACCACACUUUGAAAAGCAGAGGCUUUCAAGAAUUGUUGGUGGAGGUAAGUCUGUUGUGGGUUGAAUGUGCCCACUAACCAAUUCAUUAUCAAGAAGAGGAUAAAUGAAUGUGGCAUAUGAAGUACAGGUUUUGGAAUUUAUGUCACUACUUUCUAAUCUCAUUUGGAAGAUGAAAAGUAAAAAAAAAAUUCAAAAUUUAUCUGCCUAUGUAGCAGCA